AUUGAACGCUGGCGGCAGGCCUAACACAUGCAAGUCGAGCGGAUGGAGGGAGCUUGCUCCUGGAUUCAGCGGCGGACGGGUGAGUAAUGCCUAGGAAUCUGCCUGGUAGUGGGGGAUAACGUCCGGAAACGGGCGCUAAUACCGCACACGUCCUGAGGGAGAAAGUGGGGGAUCUUCGGACCUCACGCUAUCAGAUGAGCCUAGGUCGGAUUAGCUAGUUGGUGGGGUAAAGGCCUACCAAGGCGACGAUCCGUAACUGGUCUGAGAGGAUGAUCAGUCACACUGGAACUGAGACACGGUCCAGACUCCUACGGGAGGCAGCAGUGGGGAAUAUUGGACAAUGGGCGAAAGCCUGAUCCAGCCAUGCCGCGUGUGUGAAGAAGGUCUUCGGAUUGUAAAGCACUUUAAGUUGGGAGGAAGGGCAGUAAGUUAAUACCUUGCUGUUUUGACGUUACCAACAGAAUAAGCACCGGCUAACUUCGU
rnacentral:rRNA from 1 species